GUUGUCGAGAAAAAUUAUCUUAUAUAUACUUAGUUUUAAGCAAGGGCACAGAUACCCUACAUAAAGAAAAAAGAGAGAAGAAAAAUGGCCACACUAUGAAAAGACAAGAAGGUCACAUUAGUUUGAGCAGUCGAAGAAAGAGCGGGGAGAAAAGACGAAGCGAAAUAAAACGCAACCAACGCCUAAGUACCUAUGAAGAUAA